rnacentral:rRNA from 1 species
GGAAACGGACAGAGCUGGCGUAUCUGGUCUGCAUUCAUCCGUGUGUUCUUGGGCGUUUGGAUUGCCACUCUCCAGACUGGGAUGGUGUUCAUUCUGCUCAGGGGCUCAUGGAGCAUUUGCAGGCGGAGUGCGCUGAGAUGCUCGGRRCAGCUGCAUGAGCUUGGCUUUGAGGCCAGCCCUUCGGGGUCUGGUACCCGGGCUGUGGGAGUGCUGUUUGUUCUGGGUGCUGAGUGUGUGCAAUGGCAACGGGUCCGUGUUGGUUUGAGCUGGUGGUUGGUGGCGGUCGCGUGCGACACGUGCCGGCAGUCAGUUCGGUCCUGCUCGGGCUCUCAUUGCAUGUUCUCGGUGUAAAAGCCGGUCAUCUGUCCGACCCGUCUUGAAACACGGACCAAGGAGUUUAGCGUGUGCGCGAGUCAUUGGGAGUUGAAAACCCAAGGGCGUAAUGAAAGUGAAGGUCUCCUUGCGGAGCUGAUGUGUGAUCUCGUGCACCCCGGUGUGCGGGCGCAACAUAGUCCCGUCCCRAUCGCAUGCGAUGGGGCGGAGACAGAGCGUACGCGCUGAGACCCGAAAGAUGGUGAACUAUUCCUGAGCAGGAUGAAGCC